rnacentral:rRNA from 1 species
GACGAACGCUGGCGGCGUGCUUUACACAUGCAAGUCGAACGGAAAGGCCUGCUUUCCCUUGUGGAUUGCGGGUACUCGAGUGGCGAACGGGUGAGUAACACGUGAGUGAUCUGCCCCCAACUUGGGUAUAAGCCUGGGAAACUGGGUCUAAUUCCCGAUAGGACUGCAGGGUGGUGCCUGUGGUGGAAAACGAUUUUCUAGUGGUUGGGGAUGAGCUCGCGGCCUAUCAGCUUGUUGGUGGGGUAAUGGCCUACCAAGGCGGCGACGGGUAGCCGGCCUGAGAGGGUGGACGGCCACAUUGGGACUGAGAUACGGCCCAGACUCCUACGGGAGGCAGCAGUGGGGAAUAUUGCACAAUGGGCGGAAGCCUGAUGCAGCGACGCCGCGUGGGGGAUGACGGCCUUCGGGUUGUAAACUCCUUUCGACCGCGAGGAAGCCACCUGGUUGGAAGGGUGGUGACGGUAGUGGUAGAAGAAGCACCGGCUAACUACGUG